AUACGUAGGGGGCGAGCGUUGUCCGGAAUGAUUGGGCGUAAAGGGCGCGUAGGCGGCGCGGUAAGUCUGGAGUGAAAGUCCUGCUUUCAAGGUGGGAAUUGCUUUGGAUACUGCCGCGCUUGAGUGCAGGAGAGGUUAUCGGAAUUCCCGGUGUAGCGGUGAAAUGCGUAGAGAUCGGGAGGAACACCAGUGGCGAAGGCGGGUAACUGGACUGCAACUGACGCUGAGGCGCGAAAGUGUGGGGAGCAAACAGGAUUAGAUACCCUGGUAGUCCACACUGUAAACGAUGAAUGCUAGGUGUAGGGGGUAUCGACCCCUUUUGUGCCGGAGUCAACACAAUAAGCAUUCCGUCUGGGGAGUACGGCCGCAAGGUUGAAACUCAAAGGAAUUGACGGGG
rnacentral:rRNA from 1 species